GUGUCUGUAGCUCAACGGUAGAGCGCCCGGCCGUGGCCCGGGUCGUUGCCGGUUCGAAUCCGGUCAGGCACC
rnacentral:tRNA from 1 species